rnacentral:rRNA from 1 species
CCUACGGGAGGCAGCAGUGGGGAAUAUUGCACAAUGGGGGAAACUCUGAUGCAGCGACGCCGCGUGAGUGAAGAAGUAUUUCGGUUUGUAAAGCUCUAUCAGCAGGGAAGAAAAUGACGGUACCUGAUUAAGAAGCCCCGGCUAACUACGUGCCAGCAGCCGCGGUAAUACGUAGGGGGCAAGCGUUAUCCGGAUUUACUGGGUGUAAAGGGAGCGUAGACGGGAGCACAAGUCUGGAGUGAAAUGCAGGGGCUUAACCCCGGAGCUGCUUUGGAAACUGUGCAGCUAGAGUGCAGGAGAGGUAAGUGGAAUUCCUAGUGUAGCGGUGAAAUGCGUAGAUAUUAGGAGGAACACCAGUGGCGAAGGCGGCUUACUGGACUGUAACUGACGUUGAUGCUCGAAAGCGUGGGGAGCAAACAGGAUUAGAUACCCCUGUAGUC